CUGAUAGAUAGAUUACAUGACAACGAAAAAUAUCCGAGUUUCCUCGAAGAGAUGUUGGAAUUUAUAGCAAAUUUAAUUUUGACAAUUUACGAGGGGAAAUGUGAUGUUAAUGUGUUUUUCAACACCGACGAAUCCAUCGGGCGCCUGCUUCUUCUGAACAAAUCUAAAAAUAUAAUAAAGUAUACAAUCGAAAAAAUCGUUAAAAUUCUCGAAUCUUUCCUUGAAAAUUUGGAGAGAGACACAAUUGAAUUAACAAAUAUAAAUAAAACCGAAAACUUAGCGUAUAUAUUUCAUUUAUUAGAAACAUUGUUGAAAAAACAUAUUAAAAUUACGCAAUUCAGUCAAAACACUAGAUUUAGUCAAAGCAAUACAUUUAGUCAGACACAAGAAGAUAAAUCUCUGAAACGGUCGACUAUUACCGAGAUAUGGCGAAAGAGAUGGAAUUUAACUAAAAAUGAAGUCUUUCAAAAAGAAGAAAAAGACAUUCUAGUGGACUGCAGCGAUAUUUUAAAUAAAAUAAUCGUAAAAGCUAUGAAUAAUUAUAGUUUGAUUGCAUUUGCCGCAUUGCAAUGUUUCAAUCUAUUGCAAUCUUGAAUAAAAUGUUUAAAUUUA